GAUGAACGCUGGCGGCGUGCCUAAUACAUGCAAGUCGAGCGAACGGACGAGAAGCUUGCUUCUCUGAUGUUAGCGGCGGACGGGUGAGUAACACGUGGAUAACCUACCUAUAAGACUGGGAUAACUUCGGGAAACCGGAGCUAAUACCGGAUAAUCUUUUGAACCGCAUGGUUCAAAAGUGAAAGACGGUCUUGCUGUCACUUAUAGAUGGAUCCGCGCUGCAUUAGCUAGUUGGUAAGGUAACGGCUUACCAAGGCAACGAUGCAUAGCCGACCUGAGAGGGUGAUCGGCCACACUGGAACUGAGACACGGUCCAGACUCCUACGGGGGGCAGCAGUAGGGAAUCUUCCGCAAUGGGCGAAAGCCUGACGGAGCAACGCCGCGUGAGUGAUGAAGGUCUUCGGAUCGUAAAACUCUGUUAUUAGGGAAGAACAUAUGUGUAAGUAACUGUGCACAUCUUGACGGUACCUAAUCAGAAAGCCACGGCUAACUACGUG
rnacentral:rRNA from 1 species